rnacentral:rRNA from 1 species
AAUCAACGCUGGCGGCGUGCCUCAGACAUGCAAGUCGAACGCGAAAGGCGCCUUCGGGUGCCGAGUAGAGUGGCGCUCGGGUGAGUAACACGUAGGUAAUCUACCUUUGGGUGGGGAAUAACAGCCGGAAACGGCUGCUAAUACCGCAUAAUGCAGCGGCAGCUCAUGCUGACAGUUGUUAAAGCGGGGGAUCCUUCGGGACCUCGCGCCUGAAGAGGAGCCUGCGGCGGAUUAGCUAGUUGGUGAGGUAAUGGCUCACCAAGGCUUCGAUCUGUAGCCGGCCUGAGAGGGCGGUCGGGUCACACUGACACUUAAAUACGGGUCAGACUCCUACGGGAGGCAGCAGUCGGGAAUUUUGGGCAAUGGGCGAAAGCCUGACCCAGCAACGCCGCGUGAAGGAUGAAAUCCCUCGGGAUGUAAACUUCGCAAGAAUGGGAAGAAUAAGUUUGUAGUUAAUAUCUCAAGCGAUGACGGUACC